AGCUCCAAUAAGGAAAACUAAAGUUGCUGUGUUUAAAAAGCUCGUAGUUGAAUUUCGGGUAUUUGUUGCUAGCUGGUCUUAAUGGCCAUGUUGGUUAACAGAUCCUCAUUUGCUGGACGGCUAGCGAUGAUCUUUAUCGGUUGUCGUUAGUUGCCAGCACGUUUACUUUGAGAAAAUUAGAGUGCUAAAAGCAGGCUCACGCCUAUAUAUAUUGCAUGGAAUAAUGAAAUAAGAUCUCGAUUUUAUUUCGUUGGUUUUAGAAAUUGAGAUAAUGAUUAAUAGGAUCAGAGGGGGGCGUACGUACUGUGGUGUGAGAGGUGAAAUUCUUGGAUCGCCACAGGACGAACAGCAGCGAAGGCGUUCGCCAAGAAUGUUUUCA
rnacentral:rRNA from 1 species